AUUGAACGCUGGCGGCAGGCCUAACACAUGCACGUCGAACGAGUGGCGGACGGGUGAGUAAUGUCUGGGAAACUGACCGAUGGAGGGGGAUAACUACUGGAAACGGUAGCUAAUACCGCAUACCCUCGGAUGUGCCCAGAUGGGAUUAGCUAGGAGGUGGGGUAACGGCGCACCUAGGCGACGAUCCCUAGCUGGUCUGAGAGGAUGACAAGCCACACUGGAACUGAGACACGGUCCAGACGCCUACGGGAGGCAGCAGUGGGGAAUAUUGGACAAUGGGCGCAAGCAUGAUGCAGCCAUGCCGCGUGUAGGAAGAAGGCCUGCGGGUUGUAAAGUACUUUCAGCGGGGAGGCGUUACUCGCAGAAGAAGCAUCGGCUAACUCCGUGCCAGCAGCCGCGGUAAUUC
rnacentral:rRNA from 1 species